CAGACAUUUGGUUCAUUCAGGUUAUUUUAACAGCUUCAGUGAAGUUAAUAUAGUGGUAUGAAAACCUGACUCUAGCUACUAUUCCAAGUGAAAAUCUUGCUACUGAGUCUUGCUACAUCUUGGAGUCAAGCAGUAAUCCAAAUAAUGAGUAACAAGUCCCAGCAAUGUGGAGGCCAACUUCCCGGACCAGGAUGUUGUAUGUUUAUGACAUUUAGCAAACAUUAAUCUGGGCUCUUAGUUUGCUACCAUACUGUCCCCUAUAUUGAUUCAACCUGUAAAUAGCAUAACACAUUAUGGCAGCUAAGCAAAUAUGUUAAUAAGCCAUGAGAGGCAAAAUGCCAUUGAAGAUCUGUAUAUUCAGCUAUUUGGAGAACUUGUGUUUUCCACAAAUUAAACUGGAGAUGUCAUUUGAGAUUUUCUUCCCUUAAAAAUGCCAUUAUAAUUUGGAUUCCUUGCCAUUGAUGUAUUUCUGGGCUUAUAAAUAUAUGAUGUAAUUGCUAUAGUUAUAAUUUUGUGAAAUUUUGUUUACCAAUUAAUAGUGACUUCAAUCUGUGCUAUGAUCCCCAGGCAGAAAUAAAUGUAUAAAAGAUUUGAGCCUGUAUAUGUAAGCAGAAAUCUCUUCAAUCAUAUUUCCUAUAUUCAGUGUAAGUACUUCACUGAUUUAUCACUAGAAUUAUUCCUUGGAUGUGUAAAUAACGAUGUUCUAUUCAGGCCUAAUGAACUCUGUACUGUGAAUAUUUAAAAUAAAAAGAAUUCAAUUUAAAUGUGCAA
rnacentral:lncRNA from 1 species